AGGAUGAACGCUAGCGGCGUGCCUAACACAUGCAAGUCGAACGUGAAGGGGUACUUGUACUCCUGAAAGUGGCGGACGGGUGAGUAAGACGUAGGUGACCUGCCUUGAAGUGGGGGAUAACCAUUGGAAACGAUGGCUAAUACCGCAUGACGUUAUUUGGUUGGGAAACGAGAUAACCAAAGUUGAGGCGCUUUGAGAGGGGCCUACGGCCGAUUAGCUAGUUGGUGGGGUAAGAGCCUACCAAGGCGAUGAUCGGUAGCUGGUCUGAGAGGACGAUCAGCCACACGGGAACUGAGACACGGUCCCGACUCCUACGGGGGGCAGCAGUGAGGAAUAUUCGGCAAUGGGGGGAACCCUGACCGAGCAACGCCGCGUGGAGGAUGACGGUUUCGGAUUGUAAACUCCUUUGUGGGGGAAGAGCAAGGACGUACCCCAGGAAUCAGUCACGGCUAACUACGUGCCAGCAGCCGC
rnacentral:rRNA from 1 species